GGCCCUCCCUCCCUUUCAUUUUCCCUUCCUACGCCCCCUCUCUCUUUUCCUCUCUCCUGUUCUCCCGCUCCCUCGCCCUCUCUGCUGUGUCGAUAUUGGCCCGGCAUGGAAUGACAUGAAGGCGUACUGAACUAUGCUGCCGGCCGACUGAUACGGGCUCCGGUACGGCAGACCUUACUCCAAAAACUCGGUGUAGGAGUGAGGACCAUAUGUUGUUAGUGAAACCUAUCAUAAUUUACUUAGUUUCAAUUAUUAUAGCUUUUUAUUAAGUAUUAAUAUUUGCCUUUAUGUUAGUGCAUUGUUAGGAUGCUAUGUAAGCUCAACAAGUACAAUACAUACAACAUAAGACUCACGAUGCAUACACACAUUUUUUUAAUGUAUAUACAAUAUAAGAAUAAUCUGUUAAUGCAUGAAACAUGUCUCAACUAAUCCAGAAUCAAGUUUAGAACAUCGAAAAAGAAAACAGAGAAACUAUGGCUAACCUCCUUUUUUACGUCAGAGCAUAUACUAGCGUACCAGGCUAUUGUUGUCAUGUGCUUAAAAUGUGUCAAUGCAGCACACAUGCAACAUGCGCCUUGCUAGCUGAGGCCACCAUGCCUUGCAGCACUAGUAGAUGAAUCAUUGUUGGGAAUGAUUCAUCUCACAAAAAACUUUCUAUACCAAGGUUCACCAAGAUCGGAGGGCAUACUAGCCGGCGAUCAGUUCAGCACAAUACCAGUCCGUAUCAUACCAUUCUAUGACAUA
rnacentral:lncRNA from 1 species